GCCCGGAGGUCUCUUGAGCUCUUCCUGGCUGCGUCCCUCCUCAGAGCCGGGUCCCCACUCAGGUCCCUAUCCCUGUGCCGGUGAGAGUGGCACAAACCAAACGGGCUGGACCAGAGCUGCUUGCUGUGGAGAAGGGCAGUGGGAAGGGUACAGGCAGUUCUGCGGUGGGACUUUGGCUUCAUACAAGCAUGAACCCAAUAAACAGAGCUUUUUCCACAAUGGGUUUGAGGGGCUUAACCCUGUGCCUGCCCUCGGGGCAUCUUUAGGGAGUGAAGCACACAGAAAGGGUGAAAGAGGGGCACAGCUGUCAUGAAGCUAGGGACACUGGCUCUGGACCAGAAGUGCUGCAAAAGGAGAUGCUGAUUUCCAGCACCCUGUACCUGAGAGCGGACAAGGAUGUCACACAGGGACACUCCAUGUGAGCCCCCACUCCCCAGCCCUGCACCAAGGUGAGGCUUUUCGAAAGAUGCCAACUGAAAACUCAGCCCCCAGGCCAAGCCCCACUGCCUUGGAGCCCUGAUCCUGCCACAUUCCCAGAGCCACAAAGCCAGUGUCUCCACCGUCACCAGCUGCCAGGCCCCCCCAGCUCCCCGCCUCUGCCCCUGUGGGCUUGUGGGCUGCCGGCAGGGGGCAACACUCCCCAGCGCCUUGCUUCCCAUCUGGAAGCAAGGAUGGAAGCUCCCUAGAUGGAGCUGGGCCAACACCUGCAUGAGGACAAGUCACAUGGAAGUGGCACCACCGCAGCCUCACUGCUCCUCUCUGACCUCACAGGACACCCAUGUGUCCCCUGUGUGUCACCGGCGGGUCCAGAGUGGGCAUUUGCUUCAGGCUGCAGGACUUCGGGCUGUGUUCCUGUGCACCACAUCCACAUGUCAGGUGCUUGGGGACAGAUGUCCCAUCCCCAGGCAUGGGCACAGCUCCCGUCCCACACUGCCUGCAGCCGCAUGGUCUCUCCUGUGUCAGCGGCCAAACACACUGCAAGGUAGCACAGGGCCGCUGCAGAUCCCCAGCUCCAGCCACGUCUCUGCCGUUGGAUGAUGCUGUGGUCAGCACAGAGACCUCCAAAGUGCAGAGCCGCAGCGCCUUCCCACAAGCGGCUGAGUGCAGGAUCCCAUCCCACGGGGGAGCUGUCGGGAUGCGGGAAUGGGGCCGUGCACGUGGAGCUGGGGAGCAGCGUGGCUCCGAAUCGCUGCUGACCCCUCCGGGACUCGAACUACGUUUCCCACAGCACUUUGCAAAACGAACUGCCCCCUCCUCCGGGUUCUGCGGGACAAGACUGCGUUUCCCAGCCGGCCACGCCGGGAGCGCCGCGCGCAGAGCGCCGAGAUCCGCAGCGCCGGAUGCUGAGAACCUGGCAGAGGAGGAGGUGGAGAUUGUGGCAUGCUGAGAAGCACAGGGACAUGCUGCUGGGAACAGAGCAGGGUGGCUGUGAUGACCCUCUCCAUCCUGGGGACAAUGGUGAGAGCCCUCAUCCCAAAGCAUCUCAGUGGCAGAGAGCACAAGCACAGGAGGGGUUCAGCAGAUGGGCACCAGCGUGGGCAUCCUGCCCUGACCCCGUGGGAAGCACAUCGCUCCUUUGGCCACCACGUCAUUCCCCAGGAGGGCAGUUCAGAGCAGAAAGCCUGGAUCUGCCCUUGGCAGCAUCCAAAAGCGUCACCCCUCCUCCUGACCCCAGAGCCGGCCUAUCCCUUGGCAGCCACAUGGCAAAAUCCUUCAAUGUCUGUCUGUCCAGCACUGUGCAAGGGACAGACAGUGCCAGCUGAGAGCACGCACCUGGUGCUUGCUUUGCACAUAUGGAAAUUAUGGGCAGGAUGUGGCUCCAGCCUGAGUUCCGAGCAGCGGACCUGGCUGUGGUUUGGGCUGCUGUGAUUUGGGACCAGCCGGGCUGCAGCCGAUGGUUGCUUAGGAACUGCACACUCACAGCAAGCAAAUGGCUGAGAAAUAAGGCGUGUGAUCACUGCAGAACUGCCUCGUUUUCUGCAGUUGUCGGCAGAAAAAAAAUGCAACUGAAAGGCAGGAGCCACCCGAGGUGCGUGCCAUCCUGGGCGAGGUGCUGGAGGGGAGGAUUCCGUGGUCACGGCACGAGUGCUCUGUCUCCGUGCAUCCAUUCUCCAAUGAACAAGAGGGAGAAGAAGCCCCACUGGCGGAGGCAGCAUGCAGAAACUUGGGGCUGCACAAAAUGGGAAGUUCGAAGGGGCAGACCCCUGGAAGGCACCGGGCACUGUGCUCCCAGCAGCUCCCAGUGUCCCCAGAGCAGGCAACCCUCAGCAGGUCUGCGGUGCAGUGAGUGCUGCAGGGACAGAUCUGAGCACAGCAGUGAGACAUGCAGUACGUGACCCUGAGGACAGCUGCCCACCCUGAGGCAGCCCGACUGGUUGCAGGAUGCUGAUUAUUGCAUGCCAGCCCUCACACUGCUACUCUGCAUACAUCAUUUUAUGAUGUCCAGGACAGGAGGAAGGUUCAUAUACUCCAGUCUUCAUGGCAAUGCCAUGGCACCCACGGCACGGCCCUGCAUGACCAACUCAGAGCUUUUUGGUGGUUUUUUUGACAAACACCAGAACCUACAAUGAUCUCACAGGAUACCUCACCCCACUUGAGCCCUGAGGACCCUCACAAACUCUCUGUUAACCCCAGAACAUCACAGGCAGUCCCACCACAGGUUAUCCUUCCCCUGGGGGCCGCACUCCUGUCCCAGGGCUCUCACAGCCACCAGACCUGCACCACACUUUGGCAUCGCAUGGGUCAGCCCCACUUGGCUGGCUGCCGGGUGUCCCCACGCAGGAACCAGGCCAGCAGCUGCUUUCCUUAUCACCGCCUGCAACCAUGUGCUGUCCCUCACCCCUGUGGCUCCCAGCCCGGCUCACGUGGGGGCUUGGCAGCAGCACAGGGAAGCUUGCAUUGUGGCUGCCCACUGUGGCCGGGCUGUGGGAGAAAGCAAGGAUUUCCUGGCCUGGAGCAAGUCCUUCCCGUCUCCUCCCUGCAGUCCAGUGCUGGGGCUGGGAACCUGCCCAGGAGGCAGCAAGUGGAGCUGAGGUGCUUUGAUCAGCAUCGCAGUCCAGCGCCCAGACGGUGUCCCAGCAGCUCCGUCCAGGCACAAAAUGUCUAACUGGGGGACCGUGGGCAUGGGGCUGCUGCGGGAUGGCCUCACAGCCUUGCACUCUUGGCAAAAGCCCACUUGGGGAAGUAACCCGGGGGGGAUUUGUGUCCCUGGGCUGCAGCUGCCGUCCCUCGUUCUGAGCUGGGGGCAACCUGGAGCGCUGCCAAGGAGAAGCAUUUGUGCACUGGAAAAUGGCCCCGAGAGCCCCAGCUGGGGACACCUGGCCAGGCAGCUCACAUGCACAGCCACGGGCCUCCUGCUCCAAAUGUCAGUGCUUCUCUGAGCUGAGAAAUCGCUUCCUGCAGACGGAGGGGCCGGCGUGCUGCUGGCAGCAGCGCUGACACACAGCCAUGCUCAACCACUUUUGGUUUCACUGUGAGCAGCUGUGCGCAGCGACGCCGUGACCUCGUGGUUCAGCUGUGCCACAGCCACACAGAGAUGUCACAUCGGCUACAACGAGGGACGUUUUUAGGCUGUUUCCUGUUAUUUUUUCCAUGAUGGGGAAUUCCAUGUACUGGGGACAGUCUCAGUGGGAAGGGAACGGCUGUCACCUCUGCGCUGACCCGGUGCCUCUUAGAACUUUGCCAUUGCCCCAUCCUGGGGACAGCAUGGGGACCUUGUCCCCAGCAAAGAGCCGGGCCGGAGCAGGGCCACCGUACCCAUGGGAAGCUUUAGGCCCGCUCAGCACCCAGCUCCCAGCCAGGCCCUUGGCUCCGGCUCGCUCUCAGCAGAGCUCUGCUUUCUGUCCUGCCGCCCGCUUGUCCUCGCUCGGCUCAAACAGUCCCCGUUUGUUUGGCUCUCGCUGCCGGCUGGAGCCGGGGCCGCGUGCCGGGCCGCCUAUGCACAAGGGCCCCUUGUUUGCUGCCGCUCACCGGCCUCCCCCUCCUCGCUCACCCCUCGCCUGCUGUAGCAAUUAUCCCAAUUAGCCAUGCCCCUCCCUGCUGUGGGCUGCGCCGCAGACCCCCGUCCUUCCCUCUCCGUGGUGGUGGCAUCAGCACUGCUCCAUGCACAGGGACACCCCCUGGGCCACCGCCAUGGGGACGUGGGCACCUGGGAUGGAGCUGCUUGCUUGGAGUGGGAUAUGGGGGAUUGUGCCAAAUUCCGGUGUCUGGAGGCCGUGGUUCCUUGUAUGCCCUAGUCUGAGGAUGAGCAUGGCACUGCCUGGUCCUGCAGCUGCCAGCCCUGCACCGUUGGCUGCCCCACAUCGCACUGGUUUUCAUCCUGUCCCAACCUCAGGGCCAGGCAGUGUGGGCGCAGCCCAAUGCCUUCCUCUACACCAUGCACCACAGUCGGCACCUUCCUCCCACAGCUGCUGGCCUCACAACACCCAGGGCAGGCGCAUGAAAUUUCCACUCGCCGACGCAGGCUGGAGUUGUGGCUUCCCCCUGCCAUUCCCAUACAUCAAGGCCAUCUUCCCCUCCUGAGCCCCGGGGCAGUGCUGGGAGUCCUUGAGCGGGACCACCCCCAGACAGGGCACGGCACGGCAGAGCAUUUAUUUCUGCACCCUGGCAAUGUGCAUCCCGUAUGCAUCUGGGCAGACAGACCUCACAUCUUCUGCCCGUGAGCUGUAGGGUGAGCAGAGCCCCAUGCAUGGUGGCAGACUGGGGGCGAGACCCCCCCCAGCUGAACCACACAGCGGUCAUGCCAGGACGCAGCAUUACAGUGCAGGCAUCAGCAGGCAGUGCAGUGCUGCUGGGAUGGCUCAGAGCACCCCAUCUCGUGCUGACAGCAGCCCUGAGCUCCCAGGGUUGGAGCUUGGCGUCUCGAGUCAGCCUGUCUGCUCCCAUUUGUGUCUGCUGUGUUUGUGAGCACUGGGCUCACGCAGCCUAGCAGCCCCGUGUUGCUGCAGCCUCCUGCACCACUCAAGGUCCUCCCAUGACCCCAUCACACAUCGGCAGAGCCCUGUUCUGCACUUGCCCUCGGGUGUGCACCCAGAGCAGCACUUUCAUCCUCAUCAACAGGACUCAUCCUCAUAGGACUCCUCAUCCUUGUCCAGGAAUGCUGCAGAGCAUCCUGCAGGCUGUGUGGUGCCUGGAGCUCUGCACAGCUUCCCCCCAGAUCCAUCCCUGACACGUAGCAUCAGCUCACAAUGGUGCAAGUCUGUGCACAGCACUGCCCUUGGUGGCUCCCCCAGCAGCCAUGUCCCCUUCCAGAUUGCAGCUCUCUCUUCUGGCUUUCACUUGGAGCUGGCCCUGGGGUAACGGCUCUGAUUCCUGCACCCUGUGGAAGCACCUAGAGGAUGGAAGAAAUCAAUAAGAGGAAAGAGGCAGUGGAAAUCCUAAGGCCAGGUGAUGCCCAUCAGCCCUGAAAACCACCUUGUUGCUGGAGCACCCCACAGCCAUCACUGCCAUGCAGGAGGCAGCUCCCUCCUGUGGGAGUCGGGUACUGCGCAUUGUGCUGCCAGGGAAUUCCCGGCUCCCCAGGCCCCAGCCUGUCCCAGCUUUGCACAUCACUGCACUUUUCAUGUGCUGAGCCCUGUGCUGCAGCUCUGUGUGCUGCACGCUGUGCUCAGCCCUGCUCAAACCACAGCAAAGGCACCUGGGGCCCCACGCUCCCCUACAGCCGCAGAGCCGGGCGGGCUGCUGCACACCCACACUGCUCCUACAGGGUAAAGCAAGAGCCUCUGGUUCAGCUUCACCCCCAAGUGAGCUGGAAAUGCAGUGCAAAGCUGUGUGCACAGGCACCAGGUGCCCGAGCUGGGCAGGUACAAUAGGCAGGAGGCCUGGGGCUGUGCCGACACCCUGCUGGGGACCCAAGCAAAGCAAAGCUGGGGACAGCAGGGUCACAGCUGCAAUGACACAGUGCGUCCCUCCAAUACAGCAGCCCAGGCACCAGGGCUACUACACUGACUCCCAGCAGAAGAGCUGGGAAAAACCACAGCACCGCUCCUGAGCCCCACAUGGUCUGCAAGCAGGUUGCUGGGGGGUCAGGGUCAUCACGGCCAGAAGGAAGGUGAUGGCAGUCAGACCCCCCUGCCUCAGUUUACCUUCCUCAUGCCUAUCCAUCCCAUCCUGCCGUGGGGCAGUAGGAGGCAUGGUGGAUCUGCAGCACCAACAGUGUGAUUUAACCAUAAAAAUAAUGCUCAUCACUCCUGGGAUCUUGGUGGGGCUUUUGGAACCCACAGAGACUGUGUGUACAGAGUUCAGCGUCCCUGCAGCCCCCGGGUGCAUGGCAACACAGGGAUGAGCCACGGACAUUAUGGGAACUUUGCAGAUAUUCUGAGCACCUCAUUUCUCACAUUGGGGGCUGUGUACAGGGCUGGAAGCCCACAAAGGACCACUUCCAACCCCCUGCAGAUGCAUUCAAACAGUGCACAAAUGGUCAGGGCCCGACAGCCCCCAGCCCACGCACUGCUGCUGCUGCAAACAGCAACCAGGGCAGAAAUAGCAGCUCACAGCAAGAAUUCCACCGCCUCCUUGGCCAAUGUUCCAACAGCAUUCCUCCUUCAGAGCUGUAUUGGCUCACCCUGGGCAAGCACCCGUCUGUGGGAGCCCAGCCCUGGCCCUGCACCGCAUGGGGCUCACCCUGUGCCACUGCAGCAAUGCCACUUCAGCUGGGUGCAGCUGUGGUCCUAUCCUGACCCCACUGCUGCUCAAGACUGCGCAGAAGGAAGGAGACAACCAGAUACCUGGUAGGGCCCCGCUGAGCACAGCUGCUCUCUGCAGAGCUGGAGGUGAGCUCAUUUUUGGGUGCAUUAUCAGCAUGCUGAGUGAUUCACCUGUACACAACCCGGUCAUUGCAAGGAGCAGGCUGGAUUUUGGAACAAAUUGUUGAUGUGUACAAGACCCAGACAAACAAACUCCAUAAGAAGAGUGGCAGGCAACAAAUAGACAGGACAUGAAUCAUCAGCAGGGCAGGUAUGCAGGUGGCUGUGGGGACAUGAAGGAGCACAGUGUGUGCCGGGAGCUCAGUGCUGGGGCAGCGUGCAGCGCUGGGGCUGUUGGCACUUGUCCUGUUGGAUGAGCAACAACCCUGUUGGAGCAGAUCACUGAGCACACUGUUAAUCCAGAUGUGCAAUAAAGUGCUGAGUGUGCGACUGGA